rnacentral:rRNA from 1 species
AUUGCCUUAGUAACGGCGAGUGAAGCGGCAACAGCUCAAAUUUGAAAUCUGGCUCUUUUAGGGUCCGAGUUGUAAUUUGCAGAGGGCGCUUUGGCUUUGGCAGCGGUCCAAGUUCCUUGGAACAGGACGUCACAGAGGGUGAGAAUCCCGUACGUGGUCGCUAGCUAUUGCCGUGUAAAGCCCCUUCGACGAGUCGAGUUGUUUGGGAAUGCAGCUCUAAAUGGGAGGUAAAUUUCUUCUAAAGCUAAAUAUUGGCCAGAGACCGAUAGCGCACAAGUAGAGUGAUCGAAAGAUGAAAAGCACUUUGGAAAGAGAGUCAAACAGCACGUGAAAUUGUUGAAAGGGAAGCGCUUGCAGCCAGACUUGCUUGCAGUUGCUCAUCCGGGCUUUUGCCCGGUGCACUCUUCUGUAGGCAGGCCAGCAUCAGUUUGGGCGGUGGGAUAAAGGUCUCUGACACGUUCCUUCCUUCGGGUUGGCCAUAUAGGGGAGACGUCAUACCACCAGCCUGGACUGAGGUCCGCGCAUCUGCUAGGAUGCUGGCGUAAUGGCUGUAAGCGGCCCGUCUUGAAACACGGACCAAGGAGUCUAACAUCUAUGCGAGUGUUUGGGUGUCAAGCCCGAGCGCGUAAUGAAAGUGAACGGAGGUGGGAACCCGCAAGGGCGCACCAUCGACCGAUCCUGAAGUUUACGGAAGGAUUUGAGUAAGAGCAUGGCUGUUGGGACCCGAAAGAUGGUGAACUAUGCUUGAAUAGGGUGAAGCCAGAGGAAACUCUGGUGGAGGCUCGCAGCGGUUCUGACGUGCAAAUCGAUCGUCAAAUUUGGGCAUAGGGGCGAAAGACUAAUC